rnacentral:lncRNA from 1 species
AUGAAACUAGCGCACAGCACGGCUGCCCCCAUGUCGAAAUACAGACUAUGGAGGAUUCACCACCAGACUGGGAAGCAACAGCAACAGCCUGGGCUCGAGAGUCGGACACUGCACUCACCAGACUAUGGCGGAUUCACCACCAGACUAGGAAACAACAGCCUGGGCUCCAGAGUCGGCCACUCGUCCGUGCACAGACGAGGAGAGGUCUCAUGAAGCUUCGGCACAAUCUAGGACCCUAGCUCUUUUGUAAUGAGUUGUUUGGCAUGAGCUCCAGGCACGAGGGCCCUUCAUGACCAGGCUCAAGGAACAUAAAAAGGUCAACUUGUUUUUGCGAUUGUCUGUUGUUUUUCAAUAACUAACAUAUAGGAAUAGAUUGAAAUAGAGAUUUAUCUGAAACAGCGCUGGAUGAAUGCCUCAAGGGGCUCACACAACCUGUUCCGGGACUUGGUGACCAUUGUUUGUG